GCAGGUCAUUUUGUUAGCAGAUGGAAGGCAAGCGACUCAGCCAUUGAACCCCCACCCCCGCUUUGAGUACCCAGACGCCUGGACCUAGGACAUCAUCCUCAGGUGAGGCCAAAUCCAGCUUCUCCAUAAAACCAGGAAGAAGAGCAAGCAGGACUGCCAGGGUGGAACCCGAGGAAGGAAAAUCCUUCACAGACCACAGAUGGCAUUGUUUGCAAUGAAGAGAAAUGUAGAUAAGAGGAAAGAUGCAGUGACUUACUUGGAUUUUCUAUAUAAAUCAUCACAGCACCUGAAAGCACAGGGCUGUAUCUGGGGAGGCCCAAGAAAGCCAGAGAAAAGAGGCCAGGCUCUCCAGGACUGGUGAGAUGCUCCACCAUCAGAGGCUCUGCCCAUUGGGCUCCUGGCUAGACCAAGAGGACAACACAUGAGACAGAUAAAGUUCUGAUUCUGACCAGGUCUAUACUAGGCAGACUGAAAUAAUUUUUCCUUAGAAAAGCAUCUUGGCUCCAGUGAGAGAAACAACAAGAAAUGGACGCAGCUAGAGUCUUAAAAAGCUGAUUAUUAUUUGGGAGAUGAUGAACAGAGACUAGC
ensembl:lncRNA